UUCUGGAUGAUGUAGCGGUUUAUCAUAUUUCCUUUACAGUGUUAACUGGCAUUUCGGAAAAGGUCGAGGGUUCGAUCCCCUCUCCGGAAA